rnacentral:lncRNA from 1 species
GACUGGUGGUGGCGGAGAAGCAUAAAUGUAUACUGGAGGGGGAGGUGAUUUUACGGGUGGGGGAGGUGAGGUGUAGUAGUAUGGAGGAGGAGGAGACUUCACAGGUGGAGGUGGGGAGUGGUAAUAGUAUGGAGGUGGUGGAGACUUCACAGGUGGAGGUGGAGAGUGAUAAUAGUAUGGAGGAGGGGGAGACUUCACAGGUGGAGGUGGGGAGUGGUAAUAGUAGGGAGGUGGGGGAGAUGGUGAUGGGGGUGGUGGAGAGUGGUAAUAGUAUGGAGGUGGGGGAGAUGGUGAUGGGGGUGGUGGAGAGUGGUAAUAGUAUGGUGGAGGGGGUGACGGUGAUGGUGGUGGUGGAGACUUGUAGUAAUAGGGAGGUGGAGGUGAUGGUGAUGGUGGGGAGGGGACUUGUAGUAAUAGGGAGGUGGAGGUGAUGGUGAUGGUGGUGGUGGAGACUUGUAAUAGUAUGGCGGAGGAGGAGACGGGUCCGGGGGUGGUGGAGACUUGUAGUAGUAUGGUGGAGGAGGAGAUGGCGAUGGUGGUGGAGGAGACUUGUAAUAGUAAGG